rnacentral:rRNA from 1 species
UACGAAGGGGGCUAGCGUUGUUCGGAAUCACUGGGCGUAAAGCGCUCGUAGGCGGAUCUUUAAGUCAGGGGUGAAAUCCCGAGGCUCAACCUCGGAACUGCCUUUGAUACUGGGGAUCUCGAGUCCGGGAGAGGUGAGUGGAACUGCGAGUGUAGAGGUGAAAUUCGUAGAUAUUCGCAAGAACACCAGUGGCGAAGGCGGAGCUCACUGGCCCGGAACGUCGGAAC